UCCACCAUUGUAUCUAUUCCAAAAACCUGCAGACACAAGUACAAUUCGACUUUACAAGAUUAAUUUUAAUGAUACACAUUAGAUAAGGACAUACAUGGAAAUUAAGAACUAAUAUCAUGAGAAUAGAACAAAUAUUUUUAAAAGCACUGAUAAGAAUUCAGAGGAUGAGAUUUAAGCAAGCAGUAAAGAAGCAAUAACAAUUUCAAGUAAUAGCUAGCUAGCCUAGACAACAUUCAACUUAGCAUCUAAAGUUUAGACAACAUUCAUUUUGCUACCAAUGUUGUUAGCAUUUGAUGUUAUAUACUAGUUAUAAGGCUUUGUAAGCAACAGACACCUAUAUCAACUACAUACGAGUAUUAUUGAGAAAUUCUUAAACUAGUGUUAUAGUUUUUU
rnacentral:lncRNA from 1 species